rnacentral:lncRNA from 1 species
GUACAUAAAUUCAAUUACACAGUACAGCUAUAACAGAAUUACAACAUAAGCACCCUAUUAAUUUCCUUCUGUAUUCCAACUAGAUAAAAUCAUACCCGAGGCCACAACAACCUGCAUGUAACUGUGUCCAGUUGCUGCUAUAACCUGGUGUAAGCUCUCCUGCACAAGUUUUCCACAACCACUGUCAUUUCUGCUACAUCACAACAGCUCUUAUAUCAUACCAGCACAUGUUACGAUCUUCAAGCAUUGAAGAGGUUCCAUACACCGUACAUACAAAGGCACAUCAAACCUCGUCAUAUUUGUUCUAAGCCAAUUCCAUGAUCUAUAAUUGAAAUCACCAACCACAACAGUAACAUUAAUAAAGCCUAUUCAUGUUAUAAGGGACCGUUACAUGUAUCAAACAAUGCCAUUGUGCAUUUGAACUCAAAAAUCAAUUUUCUGAAAGGCCAUUUAGAUUAAGGUCUUCUUUAUUGAGUUGUUUCUGAAUUUUCCUCAGUUUUCUACAUCUGAUUAGCAGGAUAUCCUCCAUUAAACAAUUAUUGCUGCUUAAUCUUUUCUUUUAUAGUUGUUCCAUGUUCUAGCUUAAACUAUAUUUGUCAAUCUCUUGCAGGAAAGCUGAGGAAAGAAGUGGUUGGUGUUCUGAUCCACAUUUGCCACCAUGUGCUGCGUAAGCAAAUAUUGACUCCUAAGAGAUUUAGCGCAUGUUUAGUUUAGCUUAUUUUGAUGAUAAAAUUAUUGCCAAGUUCAUGAGGGAAUUUUGAAAAGAAAAAAACUAUUCCCCCUAAAAAUAAGUCCCCAAAUAUGCACUUAGUACUUAAUAACAUGCACCUUUCUUUCUUUCUGUCUUGUGAGCUUCUAAAGGGAUCAUAUCAAAUGUAUCUAACAUAGCUUUGACACUUGAAAUUUUCUCAGAUUU